UAGAAUUGUCCUUCAAUGCUCACCGUAGCUCACCGGGAAGGACAAUAGCUCAGUAGCAGAGGACAAGGCCUUGCGUGCCAAAGGUCCUAGUUUCAAUUCCUGAUAUCUCUAGAUAGACCUGUGGGAAGGAUUCCAGAAGAGAGAGGCAGUUGGUGUCAGAGACUAGUUGGAAUGUUGGGAGGAACAUCAGGAACAAGGGAGGAAUAAAGAUCUAGAUUGGGAUCUGCUGCCCUUGUGGAUUCUGCUGCCUGAGCUCUGCACUUUCUGCUGCUGCUUCCAGGAAAAUGGAGGUGAAAGGGAGACAGCAGUGUCACUCCACAGAGUCAAGUUCAAAAGCUUCAGAUUCAAACUUCCAGAUGGACUGUACUUCAGUAGCAGAGAUCCAUCUCCCACUGUUGAAAACCACAGAACACCGGUCAAUUUUUCGACAGGAACUUUGUUUUGUUUUCUUCGAGAAAAAGAUGGGCAAUGUGUGCAUUAUUUGCUUAUAAAACGAUUUAACGUAA